rnacentral:ncRNA from 1 species
UAAGAGUUUGAUUCUUGCUCAUUAAUUAGUUAAUUGAAUGUUUUUAUAUGUUUAAAAUAUAGAAUAUUUUUUCAGCAGUGAUUAAUAUUAUAAAUUAUUAUAGUUCUUAAUUUAGUAAUUCAAUUAAAAUUGAUUAAUAUUGUGCCAGCAUUCGCGGUUAAACAAUUAAUUUAAUUUAAUUCAAUAGGUUUAAGUAAUUUAAUUUAAAAUUAGAAUUUACUUUAUUAUUAUUUGGGUGGAAUUUAUAAUUAUACUAAUUUUCUUUUAUUAAAUUUAUGAAAUCUUUUCUGUUAAACUAGGAUUAGAUACCCUAUUAUUAAAGUUUUAAAUCAAAAAUAACUCCUGAAUACUAAAAGUUAUGUUCUUUAAAACUCAAAGAAUUUGGCGGUAAUUUAUUUCUUUUUAGAGGAACCUGUGCUGUAAUUGAUAAACCACGAUAAAUUAAACCUUAAUUAAAUUUGUAUAUCUCUAUGUUUAUUGAAUAUUUUAUUAGAAUUAUUUUCUUUAACUUUAAAAGUUUAAUUUUAGGUCAAGGUGCAGUUUUAUUAAGGUAGUUCAUGGGUUACUUUAUUUUAAAAAAAAUUAGGAUUUAAUUUAUUAUAUUUUUUAAUGAAAUAGGAUUUAAUAGUAAUUUUAAUUAAUUUAUUAUUUUGAAUAAAGCUCUAUAUUAUGCACAUAUCGCCCGUCGCUCCUAAUUUAUAUUAGGACAAGUCGUAACAUAGUAGUUGUACCGGAAGGUGUAGCUAGAAUGGAAUAA